rnacentral:rRNA from 1 species
UACGAAGGGGGCUAGCGUUGUUCGGAAUUACUGGGCGUAAAGCGCACGUAGGCGGAUUGUUAAGUGAGGGGUGAAAUCCCAGGGCUCAACCCUGGAACUGCCUUUCAUACUGGCAAUCUCGAGUCCGAGAGAGGUGAGUGGAAUUCCGAGUGUAGAGGUGAAAUUCGUAGAUAUUCGGAAGAACACCAGUGGCGAAGGCGACUUACUGGACACAUAUUGACGCUGAGGUGCGAAAGCGUGGGGAGCAAACAGG